GAUGAACGCUGGCGGCGUGCCUAAUACAUGCAAGUCGAGCGAACAGACGAGAGUGCUUGCACUCUCUGACGUUAGCGGCGGACGGGUGAGUAACACGUGGGUAACCUACCUAUAAGACUGGGAUAACUUCGGGAAACCGGAGCUAAUACCGGAUAAUAUUUAGCUUCGCAUGAAGCAAUAGUGAAAGACGGUUCUGCUGUCACUUAUAGAUGGACCCGCGGUGUAUUAGCUAGUUGGUGAGGUAACGGCUCACCAAGGCUAUGAUACAUAGCCGACCUGAGAGGGUGAUCGGCCACACUGGGACUGAGACACGGCCCAGACUCCUACGGGAGGCAGCAGUAGGGAAUCUUCCGCAAUGGACGAAAGUCUGACGGAGCAAUGCCGCGUGAGUGAAGAAGGUUUUCGGAUCGUAAAACUCUGUUGUAAGGGAAGAACAAGUACGUUAGUAACUGAACGUACCUUGACGGUACCUUACCAGAAAGCCACGGCUAACUACGUG
rnacentral:rRNA from 1 species